rnacentral:rRNA from 1 species
AUUGAACGCUGGCGGCAUGCCUUACACAUGCAAGUCGAACGGUAACGCGGGGCAACCUGGCGACGAGUGGCGAACGGGUGAGUAAUGCAUCGGAACGUGCCUGGUAGUGGGGGAUAACUGCUCGAAAGAGCAGCUAAUACCGCAUACGACCUGAGGGUGAGAGGGGGGGAUCGCAAGACCUCUCGCUAUCAGAGCGGCCGAUGUCGGAUUAGCUAGUUGGUGGGGUAAAAGCCCACCAAGGCAACGAUCCGUAGCUGGUCUGAGAGGACGACCAGCCACACUGGGACUGAGACACGGCCCAGACUCCUACGGGAGGCAGCAGUGGGGAAUUUUGGACAAUGGACGCAAGUCUGAUCCAGCCAUGCCGCGUGCGGGAAGAAGGCCUUCGGGUUGUAAACCGCUUUUGUCAGGGAAGAAAUCUUCUGAGUUAAUACCUCGGGAGGAUGACGGUACCUGAAGAAUAAGCACCGGCUAACUACGUGCCAGCCGCCGCGGUAACAC